rnacentral:tRNA from 1 species
UGGGGCUGUAGCUCAGCGGUAGACACCUGCUUAGCAUGUAUGAGGCCUGGGUUCAAUCCCCAGCACCACAA